AUGGCCGACAACGAUGAGGCCGGCGGUUCGGGCAAGUCAUUCUGGGAGCUGUCCCAGGAGAUGGAGGAAGAACCUCACCGCUAUGAGGACGCCGCGGAAGACACCGAUCCCGACUACACAACCCCUAGUGGUGUCGGGGAUGACACCACUGAUGGUGCCGCCGGGGAUGCCACCACUGAUGAUGGCAGCGCACUCACAGAUGGCAGCCAACCGAAGAGGCAGCGGAAGGACGGUGCCCGAACGUGCUCGGCACCGCCAAGGAGGAAUUUACUGAAGUGUCCUCCAGUGGGCAUCCAACGGCGCCCAAAGAAUUAG
rnacentral:rRNA from 1 species